GUGUAGCUCAAGUCAGGGGAGGUGUAGCUCAAGUCAGGGGAGGUGUAGCUCAAGUCAGGGGAGGUGUAGCUCAAGUCAGGGGAGGUGUAGCUCAAGCCAGGGGAGGUGUAGCUCAAGCCAGGGGAGGUGUAGCUCAAGCCAGGGGAGGUGUAGCUCAAGUGGGAGGUGUAGCUCAAGCCAGGGGAGGUGUAGCUCAAGUCAGGGGAGGUGUAGCUCAAUUCAGGGGAGGUGUAGCUCAAGUCAGGGGAGGCGUAGCUCUACGAAAAGUAAUUGCACAAAUUGCCUAUUAAUUGGCAGAGAAUGCUAUUUAUAUACUGAACAAAAAUAUAAAGGCAACAUGUAAAGUGUUGUUCCAAUUUUUCACGAGCUGAAAUAAAAGAUUCCAGAAAUGUUCCAUACACACACAAAAAAAGCUUAUUUCUCUCAUUUUGUGCACAAAUUUGUUUACAUACCUGUUAGUGAGCAUUUCUCCAUUGCCAAGACAAUUCAUCCACCUGACAGGUGUGGCAUCUCAAGAAGCGGAUUAAACAGCACGAUCAUCACACAGGUGCACCUUGUGCUGGGGACAAUAAAAGGCCACUCUAAAAUGUGCAGUUUUGUCACACAACACAACGCUACAGAUGUCUCAAGUUUUGAGGGAGUGUGCAAUUGGCAUGCUGACUGCAGGAAUAUCUACCAGAGUUGUUGCCAGAUAAUUGAAUGUUAAUUUCUGUACCAUAUGCCACCUCCAACGUCGUUCUUGAGAAUUUGGCGGAACGUCCGACCAGCCUCACACCCGCAGACCAUGUAUAAACGUGUUCACCUGCAGGAUUGAGACCAGCCACCUGGACAGCUGAUGAAACUGAGUAUUUCUGUCUAUAAUAAAGCCCUUUUGUUUGAAAAAACUAAUUCUGAUUGUCUGGGCCUUGCUCGCCAGUGGGUGGGCCUAUACCCUCCCAGGCCCACCCAUGGCCUCGCUCCUGAGCAGUCAUGUGAAACCCAUAGAUUGGGGCCAAAUAUAUUUAUUUCAAUUGGCUGAUUUCCGGAUAUGAACUAUAACUUAGUAAAAUCGUUGCAUGUUGCGUUUAUAUUUUUCAGUAUAGAUCAGUGAUUAUACACCUCACUUUGCUCAAGCUGAUCCUCUCCAAGACUCAAUCCCUGAUCAUUGGAGGUUGUAAAAAUGGGGCAAUUAGGACAGUUCAAGGGGAGAAGCUAUGAAUCCAACCAGAAAAUAGAAAAAACUCUAAAUCAGAAUAUCGCUUGAAAAAAGAGCGUCAGUGAAAACAAUUCUGAAAAACCUGCAAUGUAGCAUUAUAAUAUAAAUGGAAAGACAGGACACACAGCCAUCGGAAAUCAAAUAAACACAUUACACUGUCUGAGAAGAACACACAUCAUUGUGUGUCAGUGUAUUUGUCUGUAGUUUAUGGAGAUGCUUUCAGUUUUUGUCAAGGCUGUGGGUAACUGGUGAAAGGAGUCAGGCGCAGGAGAGCUGAGAUGUGUGGACAAGGUAUUUAAUACAAGAUAACACCAGUACAAACACAAUACUACGGUGCGGGAACAAUACCGGUACCACGAAAUAAACGGGCGUAAUAACAACAAAAUACCAGCCGUCAGUAACAGCCUGAACAAUAGAAAAAACACGCACACAAACAUGAGGGAAACCAGAGGGUUAAAUAAUGAACAUGUAAUGGGGGAAUUGAAACCAGGUGUGUAGAAAACAAAGACAAAACAAAUAGAAAAUUGAAAGUGGAUCGGCGAUGGCUAGAAGGCCGGUGACGUCGACCGCCGAACGCCGCUCGAACAAGGAGAGGGACCGACUCCGGCGGAAGUACCUCCGUUCAUUACAUGUGUGUUAAUGAAUGAACACAUUUUGGGAUUGGCAACUUUUCAAGGGAUGUUGGCACUUGCAAAAGCCAUAUCCUCAGCAUUUACGUUUUUACAUUAAUUUCUGUGGCAAAUGAAAAUGGCUACAUUGUUCGGAAAUAGGCUACUGUGUAUAUAUAUAUAUAUAUAUAUAUAUAUAUAUGUAUAUUUAAAAUCCCUAUAAUUCCAAUAUAAUGUUGAUAAGACAAUGAAUAAGUGAAAUGUUUGUUGCUAAUGUCCUUAAACCAGGCUAAUAAUUUGGUGCAUUAGGGUAAAGUGUAGGCUGCUGAUGAGUAAGCAUUUCACUGUAAGGUCUACACAUGUUUUAUUCAGCGCACGUGACAAAUAAACUUUGAUUUGAUUUGAGAAUAAUUGUCAGCAAACAUUUCAUUUGAAUUCAAGGUUUAUUUUGGACUAACUGGAUAAUUAUGUUAGAUGAUCAUGGUAUGCACACGAGACAAUGAAUUCACAUGUGGUGUGAGAAGGUGCUAUAUCUGCCUAUUGAGGUCGAAUGAUGGAAAUGCGCUGCAGAAAACAACCCCACCAAAAUUCUGAUUAUUUUACGAUAAUUUUAUUACAAUGUGAAAACCUUUUACUAAUAACACCUGAGUAUAAUGGUUUCCUGUUAUUUCAUAAGCACCUUAUAUUGCAC
ensembl:lncRNA